rnacentral:rRNA from 1 species
GAUGAACGCUGGCGGCGUGCCUAAUACAUGCAAGUCGAGCGAACAGACGAGGAGCUUGCUCCUCUGACGUUAGCGGCGGACGGGUGAGUAACACGUGGAUAACCUACCUAUAAGACUGGGAUAACUUCGGGAAACCGGAGCUAAUACCGGAUAAUAUAUUGAACCGCAUGGUUCAAUAGUGAAAGACGGUUUUGCUGUCACUUAUAGAUGGAUCCGCGCCGCAUUAGCUAGUUGGUAAGGUAACGGCUUACCAAGGCAACGAUGCGUAGCCGACCUGAGAGGGUAAUCGGCCACACUGGAACUGAGACACGGUCCAGACUCCUACGGGAGGCAGCAGUAGGGAAUCUUCCGCAAUGGGCGAAAGCCUGACGGAGCAACGCCGCGUGAGUGAUGAAGGUCUUCGGAUCGUAAAACUCUGUUAUUAGGGAAGAACAAAUGUAUAAGUAACUAUGCACGUCUUGACGGUACCUAAUCAGAAAGCCACGGCUAACUACGUG